GGGAAGGGACACAGUUCUCACCAGACCAGAGAACAGACCACAGUGCACAGACCACCAAUGACAUUGGGAAACCUGCUGUGCCUCUUCUUCGGUCAGUGGGCGUCUCACAGGAGCCCUGGAGAGUGCAUCAGCUGUGAUGAGCGCCUUCCCUGGCACGGCCAGUAGUGGUUUAUGGUCUGUCUCUAUCGUGAAUGAUAAGCCUAUGAGAGAGACUUCGAGAAAUGUAUGCGAUUGGACGCCACUCCAUGUGUCUCUGCAUAAGGACAGCACCCAGGCCAAAGGAUGAUGCGUCUGCAGACACUUUUGUUUUGGCUAGUGGUCUGUACUGAGCCAACACUCUCUGUGAUGCCAGCU